ACAGACCAGUGUCAGGAGUUAAAGAGCACAGCUGCCUGUCUCAAACACUGUUAAGGCCACAGAAGGACUUUGCCAUGAGAUAAGCACAGAAUGGAGUGACAGGAUGGCACUAA